GACGAACGCUGGCGGCGUGCCUAAUACAUGCAAGUAGAACGCUGAAGGAGGAGCUUGCUUCUCUGGAUGGGUUGCGAACGGGUGAGUAACGCGUAGGUAACCUGCCUGGUAGCGGGGGAUAACUAUUGGAAACGAUAGCUAAUACCGCAUAAUAGUAGAUGUCGCAUGACAUUUGCUUAAAAGGUGCAAUUGCAUCACUACCAGAUGGACCUGCGUUGUAUUAGCUAGUUGGUGAGGUAACGGCUCACCAAGGCAACGAUACAUAGCCGACCUGAGAGGGUGAUCGGCCACACUGGGACUGAGACACGGCCCAGACUCCUACGGGAGGCAGCAGUAGGGAAUCUUCGGCAAUGGACGGAAGUCUGACCGAGCAACGCCGCGUGAGUGAAGAAGGGUUUCGGAUCGUAAAGCUCUGUUGUAAGAGAAGAACGAGUGUGAGAGUGGAAAGUUCACACUGUGACGGUAUCUUACCAGAAAGGGACGGCUAACUACGUG
rnacentral:rRNA from 1 species